AGGUGGCUUCCACAGUGCAUAGUGGUUAUCAGCUGUGCCUCCCUCUUAGAGGUCCUCGGAGUCCAGAGUCCUCGAAGGGAAAUCUGACACAAAGAAGCAGGUGUGAGACCGGCCCCUUUCUCCCAUGCCUUAGACAGGGCUCCAGGGACUGCUUCAGGGGAGAUGUCAGAGGGCAGCAGGGACCGGGAAGGGAGGAAGAAAGCAGAGUGACAGUGAGAGGUGGGAAAACUACAAGAGGAAUUGUUUGUACGCUUGGAUCUGGACUUUUAGAACUGGUCAGGACCUGACAGAUCCUCCAGCCCAGUUCUCCCGGCUCUCAAACACUGGCAUCAUUUAUAAUUCCCUGGAAAAUCACCAGCAGGUAAAUGAAGGAGAAAAGAAAAGAACAAAAUCCACCGGGAACCAGAGACUUCCAGGCUCCAAAGACAGGCAAUCUCCACCAGGAAGGCUGGAGUGCAGCUGAGGUCUGGCUUUAGCCAAGGAGAGCACCUUGAAACCUGGCAGAGAAUUACAGUGAACCAGAAGACUAAGUGAAGCAUGAACUGGCAUAAUAUGCUUUCCUGGCUGAAAACCAUGAAUGACCCAGAAUAGUUCAUAUCUUUGGAAGAUCCUUAUUUUCCUUGUAAAUGAAAGUCAUGCAUUUGGAAUAAUAACAUGAAAUGAUGUGAAUGGUAGGGACUCAAAAACUUUCUCUUCCAAAAAUAUUCUACAGAUUCAUGCUCAGGAAAGCCAAAUGCUCUACAAUAGGAUGAAGUGGCUCCAGGAGAGUUCUGUUUACUACUUUAAUAAGUGACUAAAUAUAUGGUAUUUACGCAUAUGAAAUUGGCUUA
rnacentral:lncRNA from 1 species